rnacentral:rRNA from 1 species
CACAAGCGGUGGAGCAUGUGGUUUAAUUCGACGCAACGCGAAGAACCUUACCUGGGCUUGACAUCUGGGGAAUCUCAUGGAAACAUGGGAGUGCGGAGCAAUCUGAACCCCAAGACAGGUGCUGCAUGGCUGUCGUCAGCUCGUGUCGUGAGAUGUUGGGUUAAGUCCCGCAACGAGCGCAACCCUUGUCUCUAGUUGCCACCAUUCAGUUGGGCACUCUAGAGAGACUGCCGGUGAUAAACCGGAGGAAGGUGGGGACGACGUCAAGUCCUCAUGGCCUUUAUGCCCAGGGCUACACACGUGCUACAAUGGAUCGUACAAAGGGUCGCGAACCCGCGAGGGGGAGCCAAUCCCAAAAACCGGUCCUCAGUUCGGAUUGGAGUCUGCAACUCGACUCCAUGAAGUUGGAAUCGCUAGUAAUCGUGGAUCAGCAUGCCACGGUGAAUACGUUCCCGGGCCUU